rnacentral:rRNA from 1 species
UACAGAGGGGGCAAGCGUUGUUCGGAAUUACUGGGCGUAAAGGGCGCGUAGGCGGCCUUCUAAGUCGAACGUGAAAUCCCCGGGCUCAACCCGGGAACUGCGUCCGAUACUGGAAGGCUUGAAUCCGGGAGAGGGAUGUGGAAUUCCCGGUGUAGCGGUGAAAUGUGUAGAGAUCGGGAGGAACACCGGUGGCGAAGGCGGGUCUCUGGGCAAUUCCUGACGCUGAGGCGCGAAAGCGUGGGGAGCAAACGGG